CCUACGGGUGGCAGCAGUGAGGAAUAUUGGUCAAUGGGCGCGAGCCUGAACCAGCCAAGUCGCGUGAGGGAUGAAGGUUCUAUGGAUCGUAAACCUCUUUUAUAAGGGAAUAAAGUGUGGGACGUGUCCUAUUUUGUAUGUACCUUAUGAAUAAGGAUCGGCUAACUCCGUGCCAGCAGCCGCGGUAAUACGGAGGAUCCGAGCGUUAUCCGGAUUUAUUGGGUUUAAAGGGUGCGUAGGCGGCCUUUUAAGUCAGCGGUGAAAGACUGUGGCUCAACCAUAGAAUUGCCGGUGAAACUGGGUGGCUAGAGUAUGUUAGAGGCAGGCGGAAUGCGUGGUGUAGCGGUGAAAUGCUUAGAUAUGACGCAGAACCCCGAUUGCGAAGGCAGCCUGCCAAGCCAUUACUGACGCUGAUGCACGAAAGCGUGGGGAUCAAACAGGAUUAGAUACCCUGGUAGUC
rnacentral:rRNA from 1 species